rnacentral:rRNA from 1 species
GAGUUUGAUCAUGACUCAGGAUGAACGCUGGCGGCGUGCCUAAUACAUGCAAGUCGAGCGAACGGACGAGAAGCUUGCUUCUCUGAUGUUAGCGGCGGACGGGUGAGUAACACGUGGAUAACCUACCUAUAAGACUGGGAUAACUUCGGGAAACCGGAGCUAAUACCGGAUAAUAUUUUGAACCGCAUGGUUCAAAAGUGAAAGACGGUCUUGCUGUCACUUAUAGAUGGAUCCGCGCUGCAUUAGCUAGUUGGUAAGGUAACGGCUUACCAAGGCAACGAUGCAUAGCCGACCUGAGAGGGUGAUCGGCCACACUGGAACUGAGACACGGUCCAGACUCCUACGGGAGGCAGCAGUAGGGAAUCUUCCGCAAUGGGCGAAAGCCUGACGGAGCAACGCCGCGUGAGUGAUGAAGGUCUUCGGAUCGUAAAACUCUGUUAUUAGGGAGAACAUAUGUGUAAGUAACUGUGCACAUCUUGACGGUACCUAAUCAGAAAGCCACGGCUAACU